GUGCUUGCUUCGGCAGCACAUAUACUAAAAUUGGAACGAUACAGAGAAGAUUAGCAUGGCCCUUGCGCAAAGAUGACACACAAAUUCGUGAAGGAAGUGCUUAUAAAGGAUUUU
rnacentral:snRNA from 1 species